rnacentral:rRNA from 1 species
UACGUAGGGGGCAAGCGUUGUCCGGAAUCAUUGGGCGUAAAGAGCGUGUAGGCGGUUCGGUAAGUCGGCUGUGAAAGUCCAGGGCUCAACCCUGGGAUGCCGGUCGAUACUGCCGGACUAGAGUUCGGAAGAGGCGAGUGGAAUUCCCGGUGUAGCGGUGAAAUGCGCAGAUAUCGGAAGGAACGCCGGUGGCGAAAGCGAUCGACUGGACCUCUUCUGACGCUGAGGCGCGAAAGCCAGGGGAGCGAACGGG